rnacentral:rRNA from 1 species
UCCAGACUCCUACGGGAGGCAGCAGUGGGGAAUAUUGCACAAUGGGGGAAACCCUGAUGCAGCAACGCCGCGUGGGUGAAGGAGCGUUUCGGCGCGUAAAGCCCUUUCAGCGGGGAAGAAGAAAGACGGUACCCGACCAAGAAGCCCCGGCUAACUACGUGCCAGCAGCCGCGGUAAUACGUAGGGGGCGAGCGUUAUCCGGAAUUAUUGGGUUUAAAGGGUGCGUAGGCGGACUGUUAAGUCAGCGGUAAAAGCCGGGGCCACAACCCGGGCGAGCCGUUGAAACUGGCUGUCUUGAGAUGUCGAGAGGUAUGCGGAAUGCGCAGUGUAGCGGUGAAAUGCUUAGAUAUUGCGCAGAACUCCGAUUGCGAAGGCAGCAUACCGGCGGCGAUCUGACGCUGAGGCACGAAAGCGUGGGUAUCGAACAGGAUUAGAUACCCCUGUA